rnacentral:tRNA from 1 species
GGUCCAAUAGUGUAGAGGUUAUCACAUGGGAUUCUGAAGAGUAAUUCCCAUGACCCAGGUUCGAGUCCUGGUUGGACCU